UAUUACAGUGUCUGUUGUUUUCUAUUUUCCAAUCCCUAAUAUCCAUUUCAAAAUAAAAACAUCGGAUUUGGUCAUUUUCGUCUUUUGCGUUGUGUAGCUCGAUCUCAGAGGGAGAGGGAUUGGUUUGAUCUAGUUCGGUUCUGUUCAAAACUUCUGUUCUGUUCGAUCCUCGUAUUUUAGCUAUUCGGUUAUUUGACUCGAUUCUCAUAUUUUAUUCGCCUCUAUUAUUACUCGGAUGUGAUGGUUUACGGUGAUCGGUGACUGACGCUACUACUGCUAAUCAACAUUGGCGAAGUUUGAGGUGGAAUUCUAAUGUCCAGGUUUAGAGCAGUUUGGCAAGCUUCUUUAAAUGCAACAAAGCAAUGGCAAUAUUCUUUUGCUGAGACGAAAACUCAAGUUGCUAUGGGAAAACUCCUUACAGAACUUAUUUUUGUACCCAAAUACAACUGGUAUAUUGGAAAGUUAAAUCCAUGGAUUGCCACAAGGUGAGAGAGUUGGGCUCACUAGAAUAAAUAGGAGGACCCACGCACUUCUGGGAAAUGCACUUCUGGGAAAUUCACUUCUGGGAAAUUUGCACUUCUGGGAAAUUGACUUCUGGGAAAUUGAUGGCUGACGUUUCCGAGCACACACUUUAUAUAUCCCCAUCAUCUCUGUCUCAUGUCUAAGUUAAGCGACUUGCCUGCAAUUGCUGACCAGAUAACCCCAACAUCACCGUUUCUAGAGAAUCUCAGCUAGCAAUUUUUGCAGCCUUGUUUUGUAAUGCCACCGCCCUUAUCUUUCUUGCUUUGAAACCACGUCUUGUUCACUGUAUCCAAUACUCACUGUAUCCAAUACUCUCCAUCCUAAUAAUAAUUUUAUUUAUUCUUAAAAAAAUAUUUAAUCAAUAAAUUUGAUAAAAUUUAUAGAACUGGCUGAAAUAAUAAAAAUGUACUUACUCGCUGUAGAGUUGUGAUUGAUUGAUUGAGGUAGGCAAUAAAUUGGAAAACGUGAAGUGAAGUUUCGGACAUGUUCUACAGAGAGUGGAGUGCAGAAGAGGCACGUGCUUUCGAGCUCAUUCUACACACAAAGUGUGGCUCUAAUUCACUUGGCCUUUGGAUUUUCUACCUGUUUCUAUGAACCAUGCACUGCUUCCCUUCCCUUCCGUUGUCAGGGAUUGCUUUAUCAUUUCUCUAUCUACUCUUCAUUGAUUUCCCCAUUUUCAAAUAUAUAUAUAUGUGAUUAUGCAAAAGAGAAUUAAAGAUUUUUAAAAUUUUGAAAAAUUUUCAUUUUUAUUUUUAAUGAGAAAUCGGUGGUUUUUUCUUUUAUAAAAUUUAAAAAAAUAAAAGAAUUUUAAUUAUUAAUUUGAUUAAAAAAAUAGAGUUGGAUUAAAUUCAAAUAAGACAUGUUAGUGAAAGUUAGGAGUUGGAUUGAGAUUAUAAUGGGAUGAAUUUAAAUGGAAUUAGAAUUUACUAAGCACUUGAAUUAAUUGUUUUGGUUAAAUUAUUUUUUAUUUAAAAAAUUGAAAGAAAUAUUAAAUUUAACGAAUAUAAAACAAAAUCAAAAAGUUGUGGAACGAAACUAUAUAUAUAUUAAAUAAAGCCCAAGUCUAUUGUGAUUAAUUUUGAUCUCCUCAACCAAUAUAGACCGAUAUGAUGUUACUUGUAUAAAUUCAAAAAAAUUAUUAUUUAAUUUUAUAAUAUAAAAAAAUAAUUAUCACUUUAGUAAAUAUGUUUGCUAGUUAAAAAUAUAAAUGGAUAGAGUAACUGUAAAAAUUAAAUUACUAACGGAUAAAUUAAAUUAUUAAUGAAUAUUAUUUUUUAAUUUUGAAUAUAUUUUAAAUUCGAUUAUAACUAUUAAAAUUUAUUUUAUUAAGAUCGGGUAAUUAAAAAUAUCUAAUUUAUUAUCCGCAAAAAUAUCUAAUUUAUUAUCCUUUUAAGUAUUGACGAUAUUUUAGAUUUUUAAAAAUAUUAUUAAUAAAGAAAGAUUAAUUAAUAAAUUAUGAAUGGCAUUAGACUGUUGAGGAUGUUUAACUUACAAAAAAUGAUGGACUUCAAUUAAUAGUAUUAAAGUUGUUUUUAAAAUGGUAAAAUCUCAAAUUUAAAUUUUAAUCACUUGAGCCAGCCAUAAUUGGCAUAGGAGCUCUAUGUCUAACAUUUAGGUGACUUCUCCUUAUAUUAGACUAAAAAUGUUAUGGUUGAUCUCCUUUUGGGCGAUCAUUAGUAAUAAACAUAGCCACCUAAAGGGAGCUGUUCUAGUGUUUGCAUGGCUAUUUCUUUUGGAUUGUCGUUCGCUGGUGGUUUGGCUUUCUGUUGUUUUUAACUUGAUUGCUCCGCAUGUGGACAAUGUGGCGAAUGGCAUGUUUUGCUUUGGCUUAGUUGAUGCACUUCGCUGUUGUUGAUCGGUGGUAGGAUUAGUCUGGUUAACGCAGUGAUUUUGGCCGAUGGACAUCCCAAAGUAUUCUGUUUAGUUCUUCGGCUGCAUUUGAGCUGGGUUUGGAUUUUCUCAAACUAGAUUGAAUUUUAUGGAUUGAUUUCCAUGUUUAUU